UAAACGGAUGCAAUGACGAUCGGCUGGU
rnacentral:sRNA from 1 species